rnacentral:rRNA from 1 species
AUGCUGACGAAGAGCAACUACUCGAUUUGGGCGAUCAAGAUGAAGGCGUUGAUGCGCGCACAAGGAGUUUGGGAUGCGGUGGUGGCCGUCUCCGGCAAGGUGGACGACACGAUGGAUCAGAAGGCGUUGACGGCUAUCUAUCAAAGUAUCCCGGAUGAUGUGUUCGCCUUCAUUGCUGAGAAGACGACAUCACAUGAAGCUUGGGAGGCAAUAAAGACGAAUCGUCUUGGGGACGAUCGCAUCAAGGAGGCGAGGUUGCAAACCCUCAAGUCUGAGUUCCAGAGGCUCAAGAUAAAGGACACGGAAACAAUCGAUGACUUUGCUCUCCGGAUGACAACCAUCGUCAAUGGGAUACGAGGGCUUGGAGAAAAGUUCGAGGAGACAACCGCCGUUAAGAAAAUCCUUCGAUCUGUCCCGCCAAAGUUUCUCCAGAUUGCAUCUGCCAUAGAGCAGUUCGGCGAUUUCAAGACGAUGACUAUGGAGGAAGUCAUGGGGAGGUUGAAGGUUCAUGAGGAACGAUUGCGCAGCUAUGUCGAGGACGACCAAGACGGUGAACAACUUUUGUUGACAAGAUCGGAGUGGAGAGCAAGAGAGCGUCGUCGUGAUAAAUCCAAGGACAAGUGCUUCAAUUGCCAAGACCUAGGACAUCAUGCUUGUCCUGAAAAGAAGAGGGCCGGCGACUUUGUACGUGUAUGCGUGUGUUCCGGCCGGAGGGAGUCGAUCCAGGGGCUUGGUACAGCUUCGUACGUGUAUGCGCAGUGGAAGGCUGGUCUCAAAGGCAAGGCUAUUCCAACAAUUGGUAUCUAGAGCAAGGUUCAAGAUCGUUGGGCGAUCAAGAUGAAGGCGUUGAUGCGCGCACAAGGAGUUUGGGAUGCGGUGGUGGCCGUCUCCCGCAAGGUGGACGACACGAUGGAUCAGAAGGCGUUGAGGGCUAUCUAUCAAAGUAUCCCGGAUGAUGUGUUCGCCUUCAUUGCUGAGAAGACGACAUCAAAUGAAGCUUGGGAGGCGAUAAAGACGAAUCGUCUUGGGGACGAUUGCAUCAAGGAGGCGAGGUUGCAAACCCUCAAAUCUGAGUUCGAGAGGCUCAAGAUGAAGGACACGGAAACAAUCGAUGACUUUGCUCUCCGGAUGACAACCAUCGUCAAUGGGAUACGAGGGCUUGGAGAAAAGUUCGAGCAGACAACCGCCAUUAAGAAAAUCCUUCGAGCUGUCCCGCCAAAGUUUCUCCAGAUUGCAUCUGCCAUAGAGCAGUUUGGCGAUUUCAAGACGAUGACUAUGGAGGAAGUCAUGGGGAGGUUGAAGGUUCAUGAGGAACGAUUGCGCAGCUAUGUCGAGGACGACCAAGACGGUGAACAACUUUUGUUGACAAGAUCGGAGUGGAGAGCAAGAGAGCGUCGUCGUGAUAAAUCCAAGGACAAGUGCUUCAAUUGCCAAGACUUAGGACAUCAUGCUUAUGAGUGUCCCGAAAAGAAGAGGGGAGUUUGGGAUGCGGUGGUGGCCGUCUCCGGCAAGGUGGACGACACGAUGGAUCAGAAGGCGUUGACGGCUAUCUAUCAAAGUAUCCCGGAUGAUGUGUUCGCCUUCAUUGCUGAGAAGACGACAUCACAUGAUGCUUGCGAGGCGAUAAAGACGAAUCGUCUUGGGGACGAUCGCAUCAAGGAGGCGAGGUUGCAAACCCUCAAGUCUGAGUUCGAGAGGCUCAAGAUGAAGGACACGGAAACAAUCGAUGACUUUGCUCUCCGGAUGACAACCAUCGUCAAUGGGAUACGAGGGCUUGGAGAAAAGUUCGAGCAGACAACCGCCGUUAAGAAAAUCCUUCGAGCUGUCCCGCCAAAGUUUCUCCAGAUUGCAUCUGCCACAGAGCAGUUUGGCGAUUUCAAGACGAUGACUAUGGAGGAAGUCAUGGGGAGGUUGAAGGUUCAUGAGGAACGAUUGCGCAGCUUUGUCGAGGACGACCAAGACGGUGAACAACUUUUGUUGACAAGAUCGGAGUGGAGAAUAAAGGCGUUGAUGCGCGCACAAGGAGUUUGGGAUGCGGUGGUGGCCGUCUCCAGCAAGGUGGACGACACGAUGGAUCAGAAGGCGUUGACGGCUAUCUAUCAAAGUAUCCCGGAUGAUGUGUUCGCCUUCAUUGCUGAGAAGACGACAUCACAUGAAGCUUGGGAGGCGAUAAAGACGAAUCGUCUUGGGGACGAUCACAUCAAGGAGGCGAGGUUGCAAACCCUCAAGUCUGAGUUCAAGAGGCUCAAGAUGAAGGACACGGAAACAAUUGAUGACUUUGCUCUCCGGAUGACAACCAUCGUCAAUGGGAUACGAGGGCUUGGAGAAAAGUUUGAGGAGACAACCGCCGUUAAGAAAAUUCUUCGAGCUGUCCCGCCAAAGUUUCUCCAGAUUGCAUCUGCCAUAGAGCAGUUUGGCGAUUUCAAGACGAUGACUACGGAGGAAGUCAUGGGGAGGUUGAAGGUUCAUGAGGAACGAUUGCGCAGCUAUGUCGAGGACGACCAAGACGGUGAACAACUUUUGUUGACAAGAUCGGAGUGGAGAGCAAGAGAGCGUCGUCGUGAUAAAUCCAAGGACAAGUGCUUCAAUUGCCAAGACCUAGGACAUCAUGCUUAUGAGUGUCCCAAAAAGAAGAGGGGAGUUUGGGAUGCGGUGGUGGCCAUCUCCGGCAAGGUGGACGACACGAUGGAUCAGAAGGCGUUGACGGCUAUCUAUCAUAGUAUCCCGAAUGAUGUGUUCGCCUUCAUUGCUGAGAAGACGACAUCACAUGAAGCUUGGGAGGCGAUAAAGACGAAUCGUCUUGGGGACAAUCGCAUCAAGGAGGCGAGGUUGCAAACCCUCAAGUCUGAGUUCGAGAGGCUCAAGAUGAAGGACUCGGAAACAAUCGAUGACUUUGCUCUCCGGAUGACAACCAUCGUCAAUGGGAUACGAGGGCUUGGAGAAAAGUUUGAGGAGACAACCGCCGUUAAGAAAAUCCUUCGAGCUGUCCCGCCAAAGUUUCUCCAGAUUGCAUCUGCCAUAGAGCAGUUUGGCGAUUUCAAGACGAUGACUAUGGAGGAAGUCAUGGGGAGGUUGAAGGUUCAUGAGGAACAAUUGCGCAGCUAUGUCGAGGACAACCAAGACGCCGGCGACUUUGUACGUAUAUGCGUGUGUUCUGGCCGGAGGGAGUCGAUCCAGGGGCUUGGUACAGCUUCGUACGUGUAUGCGCAGUGGAAGGCUGGUCUCAAAGGCAAGGCUAUUCCAACAAUUGGAGUUUGGGAUGCGGUGGUGGCCAUCUCCGGCAAGGUGGACGACAUGAUGGAUCAGAAGGCGUUGACGGCUAUCUAUCAUAGUAUCCCGAAUGAUGUGUUCGCCUUCAUUGCUGAGAAGACGACAUCACAUGAAGCUUGGGAGGCGAUAAAGACGAAUCGUCUUGGGGACGAUCGCAUCAAGGAGGCGAGGUUGCAAACCCUCAAGUCUGAGUUCGAGAGGCUCAAGAUGAAGGACACAGAAACAAUUGAUGACUUUGCUCUCCGGAUGACAACCAUCGUCAAUGGGAUACGAGGGCUUGGAGAAAAGUUUGAGGAGACAACCGCCGUUAAGAAAAUCCUUCGAGCUGUCCCGCCAAAGUUUCUCCAGAUUGCAUCUGCCAUAGAGCAGUUUGGCGAUUUCAAGGCGAUGACUACGGAGGAAGUCAUGGGGAGGUUGAAGGUUCAUGAGGAACGAUUGCGCAGCUAUGUCGAGGACGACCAAGACGGUGAACAACUUUUGUUGACAAGAUCGGAGUGGAGAGCAAGAGAGCGUCGUCGUGAUAAAUCCAAGGACAAGUGCUUGAAUUGCCAAGACCUAGGACAUCAUGCUUAUGAGUGUCCCAAAAAGAAGAUGGCCGGCGACUUCGUACGUAUACGCGUGUGUUCCGGCCGGAUGGAGCCGAUCCAGGGGCUUGGUACAGCUUCGUACGUGUAUGCGCAGCAGAAGGCUGGUCUCAAAGGCAAGGCUGUUCCAACAAUUGGUAUCUAGAGCAAGGUUCAAGAUCUUUGGAUGAAGGCGUUGAUGCACGCACAAGGAGUUCGGGAUGCGGUGGUGGCCGUCUCCGGCAAGGUGGACGACACGAUGGAUCAGAAGGCGUUGACGGCUAUCUAUCAAAGUAUCCCGGAUGAUGUGUUCGCCUUCAUUGCUGAGAAGACGACAUCACAUGAAGCUUGCGAGGCCAUAAAGACGAAUCGUCUUGGGGACGAUCGCAUCAAGGAGGCGAGGUUGCAAACCCUCAAGUCUGAGUUCGAGAGGCUCAAGAUGAAGGACACGGAAACAAUCGAUGACUUUGCUCUCCGGAUGACAACCAUCGUCAAAGGGAUACGAGGGCUUGGAGAAAAGUUCGAGGAGACAACCGCCUUAAGAAAAUCCUUCGAGCUGUCCCGCCAAAGCCGGAGGGAGUCGAUCCAGGGGCUUGGUACAGCUUCAUACAUGUAUGCGCAGCGGAAGGCUGGUCUCAAAGGCAAGGCUAUUCCAACAAUUGGUAUCCAGAGCAAGGUUCAAGAUCGUUGGAUGAAGGCGUUGAUGCGCGCACAAGGAGUUUGGGAUGUGGUGGUGGCCGUCUCCGGCAAGGUGGACGACACGAUGGAUCAGAAGGCGUUGACGGCUAUCUAUCAAAGUAUCCCGGAUGAUGUGUUCGCCUUCAUUGCUGAGAAGACGACAUCACAUGAAGCUUGGGAGGCGAUAAAGAUGAAUCGUCUUGGGGACGAUCGCUUCAAGGAGGCGAGGUUGCAAACCCUCAAGUCUGAGUUCGAGAGGCUCAAGAUGAAGGACACGGAAACAAUCGAUGACUUUGCUCUCUGGAUGACAACCAUCGUCAAUGGGAUACGAGGGCUUGGAGAAAAGUUCGAGGAGACAACCGCCGUUAAGAAAAUCCUUCGAGUUGUCCCGCCAAAGUUUCUCCAGAUUGCAUAUGCCAUAGAGCAGUUUGGCGAUUUCAAGACGAUGACUAUGGAGGAAGUCAUGGGGAGGUUGAAGGUUCAUGAGGAACGAUUGCGCAGCUAUGUCGAGGACGACCAAGACGGUGAACAACUUUUGUUGACAAGAUCGGAGUGGAGGGCAAGAGAGCGUCGUCGUGAUAAAUCCAAGGACAAGUGCUUCAAUUGCCAAGACCUAGGACAUCAUGCUUCUGAAUGUCCCGAAAAGAAGGGGGGAGUUUGGGAUGCGGUGGUGGCCGUCUCCGGCAAGGUGGACGACACGAUGGAUCAGAAGGCGUUGACGGCUAUCUAUCAAAGUAUCCCGGAUGAUGUGUUCGCCUUCAUUGCUGAGAAGACGACAUCACAUGAAGCUUGGGAGGCGAUAAAGACGAAUCGUCUUGGGGACGAUCGCAUCAAGGAGGCGAGGUGGCAAACCCUCAAGUCUGAGUUCGAGAGGCUCAAGAUGAAGGACACGGAAACAAUCGAUGACUUUGCUCUCCGGAUGACAACCAUCGUCAAUGGGAUACGAGGGCUUGGAGAAAAGUUCGAGGAGACAACCGCCGUUAAGAAAAUCCUUCGAGCUGUCCCGCCAAAGUUUCUCCAGAUUGCAUCUGCCAUAGAGCAGUUUGGCGAUUUCAAGAUGAUGACUAUGGAGGAAGUCAUGGGGAGGUUGAAGGUUCAUGAGGAACGACUGCGCAGCUAUGUCGAGGACGACCAAGACGGUGAACAACUUUUGUUGACAAGAUCGAAGUGGAGAGCAAGAGAGCGUCGUCGUGAUAAAUCCAAGGACAAGUGCUUCAAUUGCCAAGACCUAGGACAUCAUGCUUAUGAGUGUCCCGAAACGAAGAGGGCCGGCGACUUCGUACGUAUACGCGUGUGUUCCGGCCGGAGGGAGUCGAUCCAGGGGCUUGGUACAGCUUCAUACAUGUAUGCGCAGCGGAAGGCUGGUCUCAAAGGCAAGGCUAUUCCAACAAUUGGUAUCCAGAGCAAGGUUCAAGAUCGUUGGAUGAAGGCGUUGAUGCGCGCACAAGGAGUUUGGGAUGUGGUGGUGGCUGUCUCCGGCAAGGUGGACGACACGAUGGAUCAGAAGGCAUUGACGGCUAUCUAUCAAAGUAUCCCGGAUGAUGUGUUCGCCUUCAUUGCUGAGAAGACGACAUCACAUGAAGCUUGGGAGGCGAUAAAGACGAAUCGUCUUGGGGACGAUCGCUUCAAGGAGGCGAGGUUGCAAACCCUCAAGUCUGAGUUCGAGAGGCUCAAGAUGAAGGACACGGAAACAAUCGAUGACUUUGCUCUCUGGAUGACAACCAUCGUCAAUGGGAUACGAGGGCUUGGAGAAAAGUUCGAGGAGACAACCGCCGUUAAGAAAAUCCUUCGAGUUGUCCCGCCAAAGUUUCUCCAGACUGCAUAUGCCAUAGAGAAGUUUGGCGAUUUCAAGACGAUGACUAUGGAGGAAGUCAUGGGGAGGUUGAAGGUUCAUGAGGAACGAUUGCGCAGCUAUGUCGAGGACGACCAAGACGGUGAACAACUUUUGUUGACAAGAUCGGAGUGGAGGGCAAGAGAGCGUCGUCGUGAUAAAUCCAAGGACAAGUGCUUCAAUUGCCAAGACCUAGGACAUCAUGCUUUUGAAUGUCCCGAAAAGAAGGGGGGUAAGAAGAAAAAUCUGGCGGAUUGCAAUCUCAUCCAGGAUGAUGAGGAUGAUCCGAGAUAGAUGAAGGCGUUGAUGUGCGCACAAGGAGUUUGGGAUGCGGUGGUGGCCGUCUCCGGCAAGGUGGACGACACGAUGGAUCAGAAGGCGUUGACGGCUAUCUAUCAAAGUAUCCCGGAUGAUGUGUUCGCCUUCAUUGCUGAGAAGACGACAUCACAUGAAGCUUGGGAGGCGAUAAAGACGAAUCGUCUUGGGGACGAUCGCAUCAAGGAGGCGAGGUUGCAAACCCUCAAGUCUGAGUUCGAGAGGCUCAAGAUGAAGGACACGGAAACAAUCGAUGACUUUGCUCUCCGGAUGACAACCAUCGUCAAUGGGAUACGAGGGCUUGGAGAAAAGUUCGAGGAGACAACCGCCGUUAAGAAAAUCCUUCGAGCUGUCCCGCCAAAGUUUCUCCAGAUUGCAUCUGCCAUAGAGCAGUUUGGCGAUUUCAAGAUGAUGACUAUGGAGGAAGUCAUGGGGAGGUUGAAGGCGAUCAAGAUGAAGGCGUUGAUGCGCGCACAAGGAGUUUGGGAUGCGGUGGUGGCCGUCUCCCGCAAGGUGGAUGACACGAUGGAUCAGAAGGCGUUGACGGCUAUCUAUCAAAGUAUCCAGGAUGAUGUGUUCGCCUUCAUUGCUGAGAAGACGACAUCACAUGAAGCUUGGGAGGCGAUACAGACGAAUCGUCUUGGGGAAGAUGGCAUCAAGGAGGUCAAGUCCGAGUUCGAGAGGCUCAAGAUGAAGGACACGGAAAGAAUGGAUGACUUUGCUCUCCGGAUGACAACCAUCGUCAAUGGGAUAGGAGGGCUUGGAGAAAAGUUCGAGGAGACAACCGCCGUUAAGAAAAUCCUUCGAGCUGUCCCGCCAAAGUUUCUCCAGAUUGCAUCUGCCAUAGAGCAGUUUGGCGAUUUCAAGACGAUGACUAUGGAGGAAGUCAUGGGGAGGUUGAAGGCGAUCAAGAUGAAGGCGUUGAUGCACGCACAAGGAGUUUGGGAUGCGGUGGUGGCCGUCUCCCGCAAGGUGGACGACACGAUGGAUCAGAAGGCGUUGACGGCUAUCUAUCAAAGUAUCCAGGAUGAUGUGUUCGCCUUCAUUGCUGAGAAGACGACAUCACAUGAAGCUUGGGAGGCGAUACAGACGAAUCGUCUUGGGGACGAUGGCAUCAAGGAGGUCAAGUCUGAGUUCGAGAGGCUCAAGAUGAAGGACACGGAAACAAUGGAUGACUUUGCUCUCCGGAUGACAACCAUCGUCAAUGGGAUACGAGGGCUUGGAGAAAAGUUCGAGGAGACAACCGCCGUUAAGAAAAUCCUUCGAGCUGUCCCGCCAAAGUUUCUCCAGAUUGCAUCUGCCAUAGAGCAGUUUGGCGAUUUCAAGACGAUGACUAUGGAGGAAGUCAUGGGGAGGUUGAAGGCGAUCAAGAUGAAGGCGUUGAUGCGCGCACAAGGAGUUUGGGAUGCGGUGGUGGCCGUCUCCCGCAAGGUGGAUGACACGAUGGAUCAGAAGGCGUUGACGGCUAUCUAUCAAAGUAUCCAGGAUGAUGUGUUCGCCUUCAUUGCUGAGAAGACGACAUCACAUGAAGCUUGGGAGGCGAUACAGACGAAUCGUCUUGGGGACGAUGGCAUCAAGGAGGUCAAGUCUGAGUUCGAUAGGCUCAAGAUGAAGGACACGGAAACAAUGGAUGACUUUGCUCUCCGGAUGACAACCAUCGUCAAUGGGAUAGGAGGGCUUGGAGAAAAGUUCGAGGAGACAACCGCCGUUAAGAAAAUCCUUCGAGCUGUCCUGCCAAAGUUUCUCCAGAUUGCAUCUGCCAUAGAGCAGUUUGGCGAUUUCAAGACGAUGACUAUGGAGGAAGUCAUGGGGAGGUUGAAGGCGAUCAAGAUGAAGGCGUUGAUGCACGCACAAGGAGUUUGGGAUGCGGUGGUGGCCGUCUCCCGCAAGGUGGACGACACGAUGGAUCAGAAGGCGUUGACGGCUAUCUAUCAAAGUAUCCAGGAUGAUGUGUUCGCCUUCAUUGCUGAGAAGACGACAUCACAUGAAGCUUGGGAGGCGAUACAGACGAAUCGUCUUGGGGACGAUGGCAUCAAGGAGGUCAAGUCUGAGUUCGAGAGGCUCAAGAUGAAGGACACGGAAACAAUGGAUGACUUUGCUCUCCGGAUGACAACCAUCGUCAAUGGGAUACGAGGGCUUGGAGAAAAGUUCGAGGAGACAACCGCCGUUAAGAAAAUCCUUCGAGCUGUCCCGCCAAAGUUUCUCCAGAUUGCAUCUGCCAUAGAGCAGUUUGGCGAUUUACAGACGAUGACUAUGGAGGAAGUCAUGGGGAGGUUGAAGGCGAUCAAGAUGAAGGCGUUGAUGCGCGCACAAGGAGUUUGGGAUGCGGUGGUGGCCGUCUCCCGCAAGGUGGACGACACGAUGGAUCAGAAGGCGUUGACGGCUAUCUAUCAAAGUAUCCAGGAUGAUGUGUUCGCCUUCAUUGCUGCGAAGACGACAUCGCAUGAAGCUUGGGAGGCGAUAAAGACGAAUCGUCUUGGGGACGAUCGCAUCAAGGAGGUCAAGUCUGAGUUCGAGAGGCUCAAGAUGAAGGACACGGAAACAAUCGAUGACUUUGCUCUCUGGAUGACAACCAUCGUCAAUGGGAUACGAGGGCUUGGAGAAAAGUUCGAGGAGACAACCGCCGUUAAGAAAAUCCUUCGAGCUGUCCCGCCAAAGUUUCUCCAGAUUGCAUCUGCCAUAGAGCAGUUUGGCGAUUUACAGACGAUGACUAUGGAGGAAGUCAUGGGGAGGUUGAAGGUUCAUGAGGAACGAUUGCGGAGCUAUGUCGAGGACGACCAAGACGGUGAACAACUUUUGUUGACAAGAUCGGAGUGGAGAGGAAGAGAGCGUCGUCGUGAUAAAUCCAAGGACAAGUGCUUCAAUUGCCCAGACCUAGGACAUCAUGCUUAUGAGUGUCCCGAAAAGAAGAGGGCGACAAUCAAGAACAUGGCUGAAAAAGGAGGAAGCUUGUUUGUCCAAUACCCGAUGCUGACGAAGAGCAACUACUCGAUUUGGGCGAUCAAGAUGAAGGCGUUGAUGCGCGCACAAGGAGUUUGGGAUGCGGUGGUGGCCGUCUCCGGCAAGGUCGACGACACGAUGGAUCAGAAGGCGUUGACGGCUAUCUAUCAAAGUAUCCCGGAUGAUGUGUUCGCCUUCAUUGCUGAGAAGACGACAUCACAUGAAGCUUGGGAGGCGAUAAAGACGAAUCAUCUUGGGGACGAUCGCAUCACGGAGGCGAGGUUGCAAACCCUCAAGUCUGAGUUCGAGAGGCUCAAGAUGAAGGACACGGAAACAAUCGAUGACUUUGCUCUUCGGAUGACAACCAUCGUCAAUGGGAUACGAGGGCUUGGAGAAAAGUUCGAGGAGACAACCGCCGUUAAGAAAAUCCUUCGAAUGAAGGCGUUGAUGCGUGCACAAGGAGUUUGGGAUGCGGUGGUGGCCGUCUCCGGCAAGGUGGACGACACGAUGGAUCAAAAGGCGUUGACGGCUAUCUAUCAAAGUAUCCCGGAUGAAGUGUUCGCCUUCAUUGCUGAGAAGACGACAUCACAUGAAGCUUGGGAGGCGAUAAAGACGAAUCGUCUUGGGGACGAUCGCAUCAAGGAGGCGAGGUUGCAAACCCUCAAGUCUGAGUUUGAGAGGUUCAAGAUGAAGGACACGGAAACAAUCGAUGACUUUGCUCUCUGGAUGACAACCAUCGUCAAUGGGAUACGAGGGCUUGGAGAAAAGUUCGAGGAGACAACCGCCGUUAAGAAAAUCCUUCGAGCUGUCCCGCCAAAGUUUCUCCAGAUUGCAUCUGCCAUAGAGCAGUUUGGCGAUUUCAAGACGAUGACUAUGGAGGAAGUCAUGGGGAGGUUGAAGGUUCAUGAGGAACGAUUGCGCAGCUAUGUCGAGGACGACCAAGACGGUGAACAACUUUUGUUGACAAGAUCGGAGUGGAGAGGAAGAGAGCGUCGUCGUGAUAAAUCCAAGGACAAGUGCUUCAAUUGCCAAGACCUAGGACAUCAUUCUUAUGAGUGUCCCGAAAAGAAGAGGGGAGUUUGGGAUGUGGUUUUGGCCGUCUCCGGCAAGGUGGACGACACGAUGGAUCAGAAGGCGUUGACGACUCUCUAUCAAAGUAUCCCGGAUGAUGUGUUCGCCUUCAUUGCUGAGAAGACGACAUCACAUGAAGCUUGGGAGGCGAUAAAGACGAAUCGUCUUGGGGACGAUCGCAUCAAGGAGGCGAGGUUGCAAACCCUCAAGUCUGAGUUCGAGAGGCUCAAGAUGAAGGACACGGAAACAAUCGAUGACUUUGCUCUCCGGAUGACAACCAUCGUCAAUGGGAUACGAGGGCUUGGAGAAAAGUUCGAGGAGACAACCGCCAUGAAGGCGUUGAUGCGCGCACAAGGAGUUUGGGAUGCGGUGGUGGCAGUCUCCGGCAAGGUGGACGACACGAUGGAUGAGAAGGCGUUGACGGCUCUCUAUCAAAGUAUCCCGGAUGAUGUGUUCGCCUUCUUUGCUGAGAAGAAGACAUCACAUGAAGCUUGGGAGGCGAUAAAGACGAAUCGUCUUGGGGACGAUCGCAUCAAGGAGGCGAGGUUGCAAACCCUCAAGUCUGAGUUCGAGAAGCUCAAGAUGAAGGACACGGAAACAAUCGAUGAUUUUGCUCUCCGGAUGACAACCAUCGUCAAUGGGAUACGAGGGCUUGGAAAAAAGUUUGAUGAGACAACCGCCGUUAAGAAAAUCCUUCGAGCUAUGAAGGCGUUGAUGCGCGCACAAGGAGUUUGGGAUGCGGUGGUGGCCGUCUCCGGCAAGGUGGACGACACGAUGGAUCAGAAGGCGUUGACGGCUAUCUAUCAAAGUAUCCCGGAUGAUGUGUUCGCCUUCAUUGCUGAGAGGACGACAUCACAUGAAGCUUGGGAGGCGAUAAAGACGAAUCGUCUUGGGGACGAUCGCAUCAAGGAGGCGAGGUUGCAAACCCUCAAGUCUGAGUUCGAGAGGCUCAAGAUGAAGGACACGGAAACAAUCGAUGACUUUGCUCUCCGGGUGACCACCAUCGUCAAUGGGAUACGAGGGCUUGGAGAAAAAUUCGAGGAGACAACCGCCGUUAAGAAAAUCCUUCGAGCUGUCCCGCCAAAGUUUCUCCAGAUUGCAUCUGCCAUAGAGCAGUUUGGCGAUUUCAAGACGAUGACUAUGGAGGAAGUCAUGGGGAGGUUGAAGGUUCAUGAGGAACGAUUGCGCAGCUAUGUCGAGGACGACCAAGACGGUGAACAACUUUUGUUGACAAGAUCGGAGUGGAGAGCAAGAGAGCGUCGUCGUGAUAAAUCCAAGGACAAGUGCUUCAAUUGCCAAGACCUAGGACAUCAUGCUUAUGAGUGUCCCGAAACGAAGAGGGGUAAGAAGAAAAAUCUGGCGGAUUGCAAUCUCAUCGAGGAUGAUGAGGAUGAUCCGAGAUUGUUCUAA